GCGUCCGUAGCCGGCCCGGUAAGUCCUUCGUUAAAUCUGACGAUUCAAUCGUUAGACCGCGGAAGAUACUGCUGGGCUAGAGGAUGGGAGAGGUCGACGGUAGUCCUGGUGUAGGGGUGAAAUCCUAUAAUCCCAGGAGGACCACCAGUGGCGAAGGCGGUCGACUAGAACAUGCCUGACGGUGAUGGACGAAAGCUGGGGGAGCGAACCGGAUUAGACACCCGGGUAGUCCCAGCUGUAAACGAUGCGGGCUAGGUGUUGGAACAGCCACGAGCUGCUCCAGUGCCGCAGAAAAGUUGUUAAGCCCGCCGCCUGGGAAGUACGGCCGCAAGGCUGAAACUUAAAGGAAUUGGCGGGGGAGCACAAG
rnacentral:rRNA from 1 species